rnacentral:rRNA from 1 species
AACGAACGCUGGCGGCAUGCCUAACACAUGCAAGUCGAACGAGACCUUCGGGUCUAGUGGCGCACGGGUGCGUAACGCGUGGGAACCUGCCUUUAGGUUCGGAAUAACAGUGAGAAAUUACUGCUAAUACCGAAUAAUGUCUUCGGACCAAAGAUUUAUCGCCUUUAGAUGGGCCCGCGUUGGAUUAGCUAGUUGGUGGGGUAAAAGGCCUACCAAGGCGACGAUCCAUAGCUGGUCUGAGAGGAUGAUCAGCCACACUGGGACUGAGACACGGCCCAGACUCCUACGGGAGGCAGCAGUGGGGAAUAUUGGACAAUGGGCGAAAGCCUGAUCCAGCAAUGCCGCGUGAGUGAUGAA